UACGAAGGGGGCUAGCGUUGCUCGGAAUCACUGGGCGUAAAGCGCACGUAGGCGGAUUGCUAAGUCAGGGGUGAAAUCCUGGAGCUCAACUCCAGAACUGCCUUUGAUACUGGCGACCUUGAGUCCGGGAGAGGUGAGUGGAACUGCGAGUGUAGAGGUGAAAUUCGUAGAUAUUCGCAAGAACACCAGUGGCGAAGGCGGCCAUCUGGACCGUUUCUGACGCUGAGGCGCGAAAGCGUGGGGAGCAAACAGG
rnacentral:rRNA from 1 species